rnacentral:tRNA from 5 species
GCCUCCAUAGCUUAAUGGUAAAGCUACCGACUCUUAAUCGGCUGUUCUGGGUUCGAUUCCCAGUGGGGGCA